AUGAAUUUAUUCCAGCACUUUGGGGCAUGGAAGGCUUGGAAUUCCUUGGGAUUCCUUGGGAUGGAUUCCUUGGGAUUUUUCAGGAUGGAUUCCUCAGGAUGGAUUCCUCAGGAUGGAUCCCUCAGGAUUCUUCGGGAGUCUUUGGGAUGGAUUCCUUGGGACGGAUUUCUCGGGAUUUGUCAGGAUUCCUUGGGAUGGAUUCCUUCGCAUUCCUCGGGAUUUGUCAGGAUUCCUUGGGAUGGAUUCCUCAGGAUCCCAUGGGAUGGAUUCCUCAGGACGGAUCCCUCAGGAUGGAUUCCUCAGGACGGAUUCCUCAGGACGGAUUCCUCGGGAUGGAUUCUCCAGAAUGGAUCCCUCAGGAUGGAUU
rnacentral:lncRNA from 1 species